CUGUUUUUUCCUGUUUGUUCAGAUACCAAUGCAUGCUGUUUUUUUUUAUUUUUUAUUAUUUUAUCUGAGUUUGAUCAUAAAUUACAAAUCUUAUUAUGCAUUGUACUGAAUGAAUAUUAGAUAGCCUAUCAAUUGAAUAUAUUUUAUCUUUAUAUUAUAAUUCAAAUUAGUUAUAAAAAUAGAAGUCAAUUAUGUAUUAUUUAAUUUUUGGUACAUUUUUACAAAAUGUUGUGUCUACUCUGGAAAAAAAAUAAAAAUACUUUGUGUUAUUGGACGGUGCUAUCCUGUCUGAACGACCCAACUUUUCGAGAGACUAUGGAAUGACUAAGGAGCCACUGACUUCUAAAGCAUACAUUAAAAAAAAAAAGUUUUUAGUUGCAAAAAUUUUAUUUUUUUAUGCUCACUUAGUUUUGAGGAUGGAUUUUGAGGAUCUAUCAAAUUCUGUAAUUUUACACUUUACCAUAGUAAGAAGGUUAAAUGGUUGCACUGUGUAGUAUAUAAUGUUGUGUAACAAGAAUUAUUUGAAGAUUGCAUAGAUAGCCUCUUAGUUCCAUCAAACAAACAACCAUUGCUGAGAUAAAGAAAUGAAAAGACAUUAAGCAAAACUCGUAUGUUAGUGUUAAGGUUAAAUUGUUAAAAUGCCAUAAUAUUUAUGAAUACCAUAUUGCUAAAUAAGAUGUGGUAAAUAAACUAAGGUGUUGAUGAAUUGAGGAUCCAGGUUCAUGCUUGUUUGUGUCUGGGAAGGAAUGAUAAAAGAUUAUGAACGACAAAGUCUUUCAGAUAAAGCCUGCCUUUCGUUAAUGGCUUUUAAAAUCAAAUUUAAAUUAUCCAAAAUGUUUAUUUUUUUUUGUUGAUUAUACAAGAUGAUUUGUUUUCUUUUAAAUUAUAGGUAACAAAAACUGCACGAUUAACAGAUACAUAAGCACAUAAAGAUCACGGAUGAGGAGUAAAUGGAUUUAUGUGGCUAUCCUGGGGAUAGCAUGCAUGAUGCUUGGAGUCAAUGGGAGCAAUACAACAAGCAGUAGCAACUCUACAGACAGCUGGAUAUCUUCUAACAUGACCACCAGCCUGACCCAGACGCUACCAACCAACAUGACCACCAACCUGACCCAGACACUACCACCCAACAUUACCACCAACCUGACCCAGACGAACCCACCCAGCAUGACCACCAACCUAAACCAGGACAUCACUGGCAGGGAUAACUGCAAGAGGGAUAGGGCAUGUUUCUCCGCUCCACCUUCCUGUAAUCCAGGUGCAGAAGGUUCCUGCUAUUUUCUUUCCACAAGAGGAGUAAGCGGAAAUGCAGAUAAUUUUACUUUUGAGCUGAGUGGCGAGACAGAUGGUUACAUUGGAGCUGGCCUCUCUCGAGACAGCAGUGGUCAAGGUGCCACCGUCUAUUCUUGUGCCAAAUUCAAUGGUGCACUGAGGUUAAUUCGUUCCACACUGAACAAUCAAAUAUUGAUGCAGGAUAAUACAUUUAUCCCUGGAAGCUUCCAAGGCUCAGUCAUUGGUAGAAAGAUUCAAUGCAUUUUCAAUGCUGCAGGUCUCAGCAGCACCACCCGUUCUGCAACCACAGACACUUUUGUCUUCCUUGUAACAGGCAGCAUAUCAAAUGGUUCUCUGGAUUCUCCAGUCAGUAGACUGACCACAAAUGGGUCAGUGGACUUAAGCAACCCCAACAGCACAGACGUUUCAGUAAUAACACCCAGUACAAAUGCCACUGCAUCUAAUACCACAGCAACAUCAACCACCACUGCAGCAUCUACAAACUUGACCCAGACGGUAUUUCCCAACAUAACCGCCAACCUGACCCAGACAAACCCUCCCAACAUUACCGCCAACCUGACCCAGACACACCCUCCCAACAUAACCGCCAACCUGACCCAGACACACCCUCCCAACAUAACCGCCAACCUGUCCCAGACAAACCCUCCCAACAUAACCGCCAACCUGACCCAGACAAACCCUCCCAACAUAACCGCCAACCUGACCCAGACAAACCCUCCCAACAUAACCGCCAACCUGACCCAGACAAACCCUCCCAACAUAACCGCCAACCUGACCCAGACAAACCCUCCCAACAUAACCGUCAACCUGACCCAGACACACCCUCCCAACAUAACCGCCAACCUGACCCAGACACACCCUCCCAACAUAACCGCCAACCUGACCCAGACACACCCUCCCAACAUAACCGCCAACCUGACCCAGACAAACCCUCCCAACAUAACCGCCAACCUGACCCAGACAAACCCUCCCAACAUAACCGCCAACCAGACUCAAACACGCCCUUCCACCGUGAUUGCUAACCUGACUGCGACACCAUCAGGCUCUAAUACCUUGAACAACAGCAACGUCAAUAAUCUAUCACUAGAUAUCACUGGCAGGGAUAACUGCAGGAGGGAUAGAGCAUGUUUCUCUGCUCCACCUACUUGUAAUCCAGGUGCACAAGAUUCCUGUUAUUUCCUAUCUGCAAAAGGAGUAAGCGGAAGUGCAGAUAAUUUUACCUUUGAACUCAGUGGCGAGUCAGAUGGUUACAUUGGAGCUGGCCUCUCUCGAGACAACAGUGGUCAAGGAGCCACUGUCUAUUCUUGCGCCAACAUCAAUGGUGCACUGAAGUUCUUCCGUUCCACACUGAACAAUCAAAGACUGGCUCAGGAUAACACUUUCAUCCCUGGAAGUUUCCGUGGUUCGGUGAAUAGAGGAAAGAUUCAGUGCAUUUUCAAUGCUGCAGGUCUCGGCAGCAUCACUCGUGCGGCAACCACAGACACUUAUGUCUUCUUUUUAACAGGCAGUGUCUCAAAUGGCUCUCUGGAUUCUCCAGUCACUAGACUGACUACAAAUGGGUCAGUGGACUUAAGCAACCCUAACAGCACAGAUGUUUCAGUAAUAACACCCAGUACAAAUGCCACCACAACAGCCCCGAACAUCACCACAUCUAGUUCCUCUUUAGCAUUAAACACCACUACAGCCCCGAACACCACCGCAUCUAAUUCCACUGCAUCCUCAAAUACUACUGCAUCAUCAAAUGCCACUGCAUCUAAUGCCUCUGGAUUAUCUACAGCUAAUAAUGUUACAACAAAUGAUAAGGUCACCAAGGACAACUGUAAAAAGGACAGGGCAUGUUUCUCCACUCCAGCCAACUGUGAUCCAUCAAGCUCAAGUAGCUGCAUUUUUGCCUCCACAAGAGUGGUGAACGGAAACUUAGACAAUCUCACUUUUGAGCUCAGUGGGGAUUCAAAUGGUUACAUCGCAGUUGGCCUGUCUCGAGACAAGAAGGAGGGUGAUGAUGACACUGUCUACUCUUGUGCCAAUGACAAUGGUGUGGCGAAGUUCAUUCGUGCCACUCUGAACAACAACAUUCUGACUCCAGAUAAGACUGUAAGACUCCCUUUUACAGAGCAUCUUCUUCAGUGCCAAGCUUUGCACAAAAUAUUCUUGACUAUAAAUGAUGUGGUAAUGAACAGAAGCAGGGAUGGCUUUCAAAUAUAACAUGUUUUAUACAGUAGAACAGUAACAAUGAAAAACAGUAACAAUGCAAAUGUUUGUUCAACAGCAGUGAGUGAAAAAAGCAAAACCCCGAGUAGAGCUGAAGGGUUUAUAGAAUGCUUUUAAGUAGAGGGUAACUUCACUCACUCUGACCCCUAAUUUGCAGCAAUACAUUUGUACUUGAUUUGUCUUGCAGUUUAACCCUGGAUCCUUCCGUGGCUCUGUGAACGGCACAAGGAUUCAGUGCAUUUUUGUAGCUGCAGGUCUCAGCAGCAACGCCCGUGCGGCAAACACAAAUGCUUUCCUCUAUUUCUUCACUGGCAACUUUACAAAUGGCACUUUAGGGUCUCCAGUCACACGAAUGUUUACAAAUUCAUUGGUUGAUCUAACCAACACUAGCAGCUCAGACGUUGCCAUAAUAACACCCACUACAAGCACAGAUAAUACUACCACUAUUACGACUACUACAGCAAAACCUGCUACUACAGCAGGGAGCAAUGCACUGCAUCAUGCUGCAUCUCAGGCUGCUCUGGUAAUUCUCUCAGGGAUCCUUGCAGUGCUCCUGUUGUAAGGAUUCUGCCAACACAUUUGCUUUCUGAAACUGGUCGAUGAGCACUGAACGCUUGAUGAACCCAACACCAAAGUAUAUGUAAUUCAGCAUAUUUAUAACUGUGCAAUAAUGCGACUCUGGGAACAAUGAAGAAAGAAGCAGAAAAUAUGGGGAAGAGGGCAUUACAUUAUUUAUUUAAUCUUAGUGUUUGUGUGUGAGAGAUUGUGUUUAUGAAUGUUUUUGCGAGCGUUAGUGUUUGUAUUCUGCUAAUGUACUGCUAUUUAAAAUCAGGCUCCUGCACAGAGAGGGCUGAUGAAAAUUAAAAUCAGUAUAUUAAUAUAAUUGUGCAAGUGUGAGCCAUCAUGUGGCUAAAAUGAUCUAAGAUAAUUGUUUUCAAAUGUCUUAAUUUAUUGUUACUGUUGCCUC
ensembl:lncRNA